UNAGCNGAGGAAAAGAAACUAACAAGGAUUCCCCUAGUAACUNCGAGUGAAGCGGGAAAAGCUCAAAUUUAAAAUCUGGUGGUCUUUUGGCCGUCCGAGUUGUAAUUUAGAGAAGCGUCUUCCGCGCUGGACCGUACACAAGUCUCCUGGAACGGAGCGUCAUAGAGGGUGAGAAUCCCGUCUUUGGUACGGACCCCCAGGGCUUCUGUGAUGCGCUCUCGAAGAGUCGAGUUGUUUGGGAAUGCAGCUCAAAAUGGGUGGUGAACUCCAUCUAAAGCUAAAUAUUGGCGAGAGACCGAUAGCGAACAAGUACCGUGAGGGAAAGAUGAAAAGCACUUUGGAAAGAGAGUGAAACAGUACGUGAAAUUGUUGAAAGGGAAACGCUUGAAGUCAGUCGCGUCCGCCGAGACUCAGCCUCGCUCCGGCUUGGCGUAUUUCUCGGUCGACGGGUCAGCAUCAAUUUCGUCCCUCGGAUAAUGGCAAGGGAAAGGUGGCACCUUUGCGGGUGUGUUAUAGUCUUUUGUCGCAUGCGAGGGGUGAGAUUGAGGAACUCAGCACGCGCACCCUCUGGGGUGUGUCGGGGCCUCGGCCCACGCCACGUGCUUAGGAUGCUGGCGUAAUGGCUUUAAACGACC
rnacentral:rRNA from 1 species